GACGAACGCUGGCGGCGUGCUUAACACAUGCAAGUCGAACGGAGUGGCGGACGGGUGAGUAACGCGUAAUCAACCUGCCCUUCAGAGGGGGACAACAGUUGGAAACGACUGCUAAUACCGCAUACUGAAGGAGGGGAUUGCGUGUGAUUAGCUAGUUGGUGGGGUAACGGCCCACCCAGGCGAUGAUCAGAAGCCGGUCUGAGAGGAGGAACGGCCACAUUGGGACUGAGACACGGCCCAGACUCCUACGGGAGGCAGCAGUGGGGAAUAUUGGACAAUGGGCGAAAGCCUGAUUCAGCCAUGCCGCGUGUGUGAAGAAGGUCUUCGGAUUGUAAAGCACUUUAAGUUGGGAGGCGUUACCAACAGAAUAAGCACCGGCUAACUUCGUGCCAGCAGCCGCGGUAAUUC
rnacentral:rRNA from 1 species